rnacentral:tRNA from 1 species
GGUUCAGUGGUGUAGUUGGUUAUCACGUCUGUCUCACACAGUGUGGGUUCACAGGAGGUCCCCGGUUCGAACCCGGACUGAACCA